rfam:Ictidomys tridecemlineatus contig069290, whole genome shotgun sequence.
CCAAAGGCUUUUCUAGGAGCCACAUUAUAUUUACUUGUCUUAUCUCU